rnacentral:rRNA from 1 species
UACGUAGGGGGCAAGCGUUGUCCGGAAUCAUUGGGCGUAAAGAGCGUGUAGGCGGCCAGAAAAGUCCGCUGUGAAAACUCGAGGCUCAACUUCGAGCUGUCGGUGGAAACUUUCUGGCUAGAGUCCGGAAGAGGAGAAUGGAAUUCCUGGUGUAGCGGUGAAAUGCGCAGAUAUCGGGAGGAACACCAAUGGCGAAGGCAGCUUGCUGGGACGGUACUGACGCUGAGGCGCGAAAGCGUGGGGAGCGAACAGG